UCAAUUCUUUCGACUUCAUUGGAUCCUUUUUCGCGCUCGAGAAUCCCCUCCUUUCUUCCACUCUGUCCCGAAGAGUAACUAGGACCAAUUUAAUCACUUUUUCAUGUUCCAAUUGAACACUUUCCAAUUUUGAUUAUUAUUAUUCUCAAACGAGAAGAUUAUUCUUUUUAUUCACGUUUGAUUUCAAAAAUUUCUUAUAAUUUAAUCCAUAACAAUUUU
rnacentral:lncRNA from 1 species